AGGGCUGUAGCUCAGUGGUCAGAGCACCUGCUUUUCAUGCAAAAGGUCCCAGUUUCGGUUCCCAGCAUCUCUC